ACUGUCAUUAUCAUCUCUGGCGAAGAGCUUUACGACCCUAGAGGCCUUCAUCACACACGCGGCAUGGCUAGAUCAGGCUUGCCCCCAUUGUCUAAGAUUCCCUA
rnacentral:rRNA from 1 species